AGCUCCAAUAGCGUAUAUUAAAGUUGCUGCAGUUAAAAAGCUCGUAGUUGCAUUUCCGAGGCAAGGGAUUAGUCCGACCUUUGGUGGGUAUUUAAUCCUCUUGCCUCGUCCUUGAGUGGUGCUUCUUGGUAUUAAGUUAUCGAGGAGAUAGCCGCUCAUCGUUUACUGUGAGAAAAUUAGAGUGUUCAAAGCAGGCUUAUGCCGUUGAAUAUAUUAGCAUGGAAUAAUAAGAUAGGACCUCGGUACUAUUUGGUUGGUUUGAGAACCAAGGUAAUGAUGAAUAGGGACAGUUGGGGGUAUUCGUAUUCAGUUGUCAGAGGUGAAAUUCUUAGAUUUGCGGAAGACGAACUACUGCGAAAGCAUUUACCAAGGAUGUUUUCA
rnacentral:rRNA from 1 species